rnacentral:rRNA from 1 species
AGUGAACGCUGGCGGUAGGCCUAACACACGCAAGUCGAACGGCAGCACAGAGGAGCUUGCUCCUUGGGUGGCGAGUGGCGGACGGGUGAGGAAUACAUCGGAAUCUACUCUGUCGUGGGGGAUAACGUAGGGAAACUUACGCUAAUACCGCAUACGACCUACGGGUGAAAGCAGGGGACCUUCGGGCCUUGCGCGAUUGAAUGAGCCGAUGUCGGAUUAGCUAGUUGGCGGGGUAAAGGCCCACCAAGGCGACGAUCCGUAGCUGGUCUGAAGGGAUGAUCAGCCACACUGGAACUGAGACACGGUCCAGACUCCGACGGGAGGCAGCAGUGGGGAAUAUUGGACAAUGGGCGCAAGCCUGAUCCAGCCAUACCGCGUGGGUGAAGAAGGCCUUCGGGUUGUAAAGCCCUUUUGUUGGGAAAGAAAUCCAGCUGGCUAAUACCCGGUUGGGAUGACGGUACCCAAAGAAUAAGCACCGGCUAACUUCGUGCCAGCCGCCGCAGUAA